rnacentral:tRNA from 1 species
GUUUCGGUAGCUCAGCGGGUAGAGCACUCGCCUCUUCAGCGAGGGGUCGUGGGUCGAGGCCCACCCGAUUCACCA